UUUUUUUAAGAUAAGACUCCUUCCCUACUGCUUCGACUGUAGUUAGUAUUUUCUAGGUUGGCUGUAGGGAUUGUUCCCUGGAGCUUAUAUACCCCACCACGCGUUGACGACUCCCCCAGGUCAAUAGAAUCCACUAGGUGGCGCCCAGGUCUACUGCCGCGUCUCGUCUUCGCUGGGCGCAAAUCUCGGAACAGCAGUGGAUGUUCAAAGAGUGGCUGGAGAGAUCAGUCCAACCAUGUGGAGCAGCUUCCCUACGGUCUGCUCUUUCAAAAGACUGCAAUUGAGCACUCUGCUUCAUAUGCAAAAUCGAGGGUACAUUCUGAUGUAGAUUUCGCAUAGCGGGAAAUGAAGGUAUUUUGUUUUUCUUUUAAAUUGCAUUGGGCAAUUUCCUUUAUUUCUUAUAUGAAACGCUAUAGGCUUUGUACAAGUAUUUUAUACGUUAUUACCAUUCUUCUAAAAAGGGACAGCUCUUUUCUUUCCAAUUUAAAGUAGUGGAUAAUGACUUUGGCAGCAUUUUCCUGCCUUUUUCAAGUUUAUGGAACCCAUUCCUCAUCAUUAGGC
rnacentral:lncRNA from 1 species